AAAGGGGGGCGUGGCCUGCGGCGCCCCCUCUCCACUGCCAUAUAGGGAAUGGAAUGCGGGGGCGGGGCCCGCCGCCGCGGCCUGAACCCGGUCACCUCUGCCGGGAAAGCCGGAAGGGUGGGGGGAGCCGCGCCUUGCGGACGGGAAAUACGGUAACGGCUGGGGCGGAGCGAGGACGGAAAAGACCUAGCUCCUGCCUCAGGGGCGGGACGGACGAAGCCCCUUCUGUGACAGGAGCCCCGGCGCGUGCCUAUAACAAGUCUUUGACGUUGCUCAGUGAGGCGAACUCCAAGGCGUGUCGGGGAGUGAGUUUUUUGUUUUCCCUCGAUUAUAGGUAAUACGGUAAGCGCCGUCGUCCCCGGUGCCAGCUCCCGGUUGGCUCUGCGGAUGUCCCGGCCUGGGAGCGCCCCGGGAGCCCCGGGGUGAAGGGCUGGGCUGUGCGGACUCGCUGUCAGUCAGUUGGAUUGGGAUGAAGGCACCGCGUCUGCCCAGAUAUGCUGAGGGUCUCUCGGGAUCCCACUGGCGCCGCCGCUUUCCGCAGCACAGAGCGCCGCUCCCGCCUCCGCGGCUCCUGGAACACCGCAUGGAAGUGCCUCACGGCAAGGAUGGGGAGUAGCAAACGCAGCCCACACUGCCUUUCCUUGCGCAGAGGGGCUCUUUGGUGUUCGUGUUACUGUGGAGCAAAAAGCAGUUUUGUUUUAGUAAUUACAUUUUAAAAAUAAGUGUUUUUACUAUUUUGAAAUUUUA